rfam:Bombyx mori DNA, contig: Bm_scaf60_contig28803, strain: p50T/Dazao, build 2, whole genome shotgun sequence.
UUAACUCAAAUUUGUACGGAGUUCGAAAGUUUGCCUACGUUUGCCGCUAGGGGCGCUGUUCCAACUGCAUACAAAUUUGAAUUA